AGAAGUUCCUCGCGCACCCCGCUCGGGAUACAUCCAAUCUCGCGCGCGAUUCGUCCAUUAACAAUCUAGACUCACGCCCUUUGUCGCAGUUCGAAACUAAAUUAUUCAAUAAAUUCGCCGCUGCAUCUGUUUAUUUCAAUUUAACACAUUAUCCAAAAGAGGCGACUUCCGUAUUCUUGGCUCGAGUGGAUCUACGUUCGGCGGCCAGUGCUCGGAGGCUAUUAGAUGGAGUCUGCUGGGGAAAACAAAGCGGCCCAAAGUCCCUCACCCCACCGAGAAUCACCAGUUCACGAACAGACAGGAGUGUUGCUGAAGAGGUUGAGGUAUGCAGUGAUGUAUUCAAAGAGAAGAACAAGCAUGAUGAGUAAUUAAGGACAGGAUUGUCUUAGGAGCAGUCCCAGGCAAAGGAAGCAGCUAUCCCGUUCCUGUUCAGAGGUGACACUGCGGAUUCGGUGCUCCCGCCGGUGCUUGAUGUAUCCGUCAUCGACAUGGUUCUGAUCCGGUCCACCCCUCAAAGGCUAUUGCCCACGAGUCUGUGGAAUUGGCAUCGCCCGACACUCCGCAGCACUUCAACUAAAGAGGGAGAUAUUCAGAUGUUAUAAGAGACCAAGAGUGGAAAUGACGAAAGGAACUCGACAGUAUAAAAUACAUAUUGACGUAUUUCGGAAUGGAUUAGACUACAUCAUUACAUGUACAGAGAUUUUAUGAGUUGAAGACAUCAAUAAAUGAUUAUAACAAU
rnacentral:sRNA from 1 species